GAUCAUGGCUCAGGAUAAACGCUGGCGGCGCACAUAAGACAUGCAAGUCGAACGGAAGUCGUUAUAAAAAGGAUUGAAGAUUUAUCUGAUUGAGAUUUUAUAACAAUGGCUUUAGUGGCGGACUGGUGAGUAACGCGUGAGCAACCUGCCUACUAGAGGGGAAUAACGGUGAGAAAUCAUUGCUAAUACCGCAUAUGCCAUGAACAUCACAUGAUGAAAAUGGGAAAAGAG
rnacentral:rRNA from 1 species